CCAUCCCUCAAGCUUCGCUUGGCUGGUUGGGCCAGCGUCCACCUGUGGCUCCCGCCAUAGGGGGACGGGCCCAAAAGGCAGUGGCGGCUCCGGGGGACUUGGGUCCUCGGGGCGGUGAUGCAUGGGUCUCUUCAUCCACCGUCCCCUGGGUCAUGCCCCGGGAGUCUGUCGAACGAUCGGUCUUCCCCUGUA
rnacentral:misc_RNA from 2 species